CAGAGGUGGUGCUGCUUCCAGAGACAGAGGUGCUGCUUCUUCCAGAGACAGAGGUGCUGCUUCUUCCAGGGACAGAGGUGCUGCUUCCAGGGCCAGAGGUGAUGCUUUCAGGGCCAGAGGUGAUGCUU